UGGAGUCCUUUCAUGCUAAAUUGGAUGAAGGCAGAAGCACUGGAGCUGAGCGGAGUGGAGAUGUCACAGCGCUCUCCGGCCUGUGUGCGGAGGCCAGACGCUUCAGCUCCAAGAGGAGAGAAAGAUGAAUGAGUCCGGGUGCCGUGGAAUCCAGUGGCGGUGGAGAUAAGCUGUGUUACGUGUGGAAGAGGAACCUUUUUUCCCUCGACUCUGCUGCUGCGAUAGUGAGGAGCACCUGCACAUAGAUGAGAGGAGGGCGCCUCCCUAAGAUCCCUCAGAGCGGUAAAACAUCUGCUCGGCGUCUGGAGUUUCCGCGGAGGAAAAAUCAGGGACAACCACCCUGCAGAGGACCACCACUGUGUCCCUAAAAGGCCGUGGUUUGAAGAUGUCCUGGCUAAAUGUGGGGAGAUUUACACAGCCGUUAAAAUGAUGAAGAGUUGAGAGCAAAGUGCACGAGGACAACAGGAAGAGUCGCUAGUUCAACAUGUUCCACCUCCAAGAUGGUCACAU
ensembl:lncRNA